GCAAGUCGAACGAGACCCUCGGGUCUAGUGGCGCACGGGUGCGUAACGCGUGGGAAUCUGCCCUUGGGUUCGGAAUAACAGUUGGAAACGACUGCUAAUACCGGAUGAUGACGUAAGUCCAAAGAUUUAUCGCCCAGGGAUGAGCCCGCGUAGGAUUAGCUAGUUGGUGAGGUAAAGGCUCACCAAGGCGACGAUCCUUAGCUGGUCUGAGAGGAUGAUCAGCCACACUGGGACUGAGACACGGCCCAGACUCCUACGGGAGGCAGCAGUGGGGAGUAUUGGACAAUGGGCGAAAGCCUGAUCCAGCAAUGCCGCGUGAGUGAUGAAGGCCUUAGGGUUGUAAAGCUCUUUUACCCGGGAUGAUAAUGACAGUACCGGGAGAAUAAGCUCCGGCUAACUCCGUGCCAGCAGCCGCGGUAAUACGGAGGGAGCUAGCGUUGUUCGGAAUUACUGGGCGUAAAGCGCACGUAGGCGGCGAUCUAAGUCAGAGGUGAAAGCCCGGGGCUCAACCCCGGAAUAGCCUUUGAGACUGGAUUGCUUGAAUCCAGGAGAGGUGAGUGGAAUUCCGAGUGUAGAGGUGAAAUUCGUAGAUAUUCGGAAGAACACCAGUGGCGAAGGCGGCUCACUGGACUGGUAUUGACGCUGGGGUGCGGAAGCGUGNGGAGCAAACAGGAUUAGAUACCCUGGUAGUCCACGCCGUAAACGAUGAUAACUAGCUGCUGGGGCUCAUGGAGCUUCGGUGGCGCAGCUAACGCAU
rnacentral:rRNA from 1 species